rnacentral:lncRNA from 1 species
AAAAGGUUGGUAUCAUCGUUUAAGAAAUAGUUAUUCUCACUCGCCUAAGAAAUAUCAAAACCGUUUUAUAAAACAACCAAAGAUACCGGCAUGUCACCCUCACGCAGAUGUCGCUACUCGCUACUCACUAUGGGUAGUCUUCCCGAGGACAGAAUAGAUUCAUUCUCCGCGUCUCUCCUUGUUUCUUGCGAUGUGAGGCAUAGGCAACUCCAGUUGAAAUUCCGGUACUUUGGCUGCAAAGGUACACCAAAGUCCAUCGAGGAACAGCAAACAAGUAUACUAAGUACUAACCUGGAAAAUAAACAAUUAACCUGUCACAACUUGAGUUUUUACCUGGAAACUUACGGGUUGACCAUUGGCACCACAGUUAAGAAGCAAAGC